rnacentral:rRNA from 1 species
GAUGAACGCUGGCGGCGUGCCUAAUACAUGCAAGUCGAGCGAACAGACGAGGAGCUUGCUCCUCUGACGUUAGCGGCGGACGGGUGAGUAGCACGUGGAUAACCUACCUAUAAGACUGGGAUAACUUCGGGAAACCGGAGCUAAUACCGGAUAAUAUAUUGAACCGCAUGGUUCAAUAGUGAAAGACGGUUUUGCUGUCACUUAUAGAUGGAUCCGCGCCGCAUUAGCUAGUUGGUAAGGUAACGGCUUACCAAGGCAGCGAUGCGUAGCCGACCUGAGAGGGUGAUCGGCCACACUGGAACUGAGACACGGUCCAGACUCCUACGGGAGGCAGCAGUAGGGAAUCUUCCGCAAUGGGCGAAAGCCUGACGGAGCAACGCCGCGUGAGUGAUGAAGGUCUUCGGAUCGUAAAACUCUGUUAUUAGGGAAGAACAAAUGUGUAAGUAACUAUGCACGUCUUGACGGUACCUAAUCAGAAAGCCACGGCUAACUACGUG